GAUAGCUCAGUGGGGCUCAGCACAGCGUCCGAAUUCCCAGCAGCUCCCAGCCGCAGGCAACCUAAGCAAGCUAUAGUGAUUUCAGCUCUUAGUGAUUAUCAGCUCUCAGUGAUUUCAGCUCUUUAGCUUGCUAGACUCCAUGCAAGCCACAGGAGACACCAGAUGUUUUCUAUCUUCAUCAAAUAAUCUGAAACUGAACAAUUUAAUUGGAAGGAUGCAGAUUGUUGCAGUGUGCUGUCAUGGUGUGCUCAGUUUCCUCAGUUCUUCCCCUGAAGUUUCCUUCCCCAGGUGGGUG